CCUAACAACGAUAUGUUGGGAG
rnacentral:siRNA from 1 species